rnacentral:rRNA from 1 species
GACGAACGCUGGCGGCGUGCUUAACACAUGCAAGUCGAACGGAAAGGCCCUGCUUUUGUGGGGUGCUCGAGUGGCGAACGGGUGAGUAACACGUGAGUAACCUGCCCUUGACUUUGGGAUAACUUCAGGAAACUGGGGCUAAUACCGGAUAGGAGCUCCUGCUGCAUGGUGGGGGUUGGAAAGUUUCGGCGGUUGGGGAUGAACUCGCGGCUUAUCAGCUUGUUGGUGGGGUAGUGGCUUACCAAGGCUUUGACGGGUAGCCGGCCUGAGAGGGUGACCGGCCACAUUGGGACUGAGAUACGGCCCAGACUCCUACGGGAGGCAGCAGUGGGGAAUAUUGCACAAUGGGCGGAAGCCUGAUGCAGCAACGCCGCGUGCGGGAGGACGGCCUUCGGGUUGUAAACCGCUUUCGCCUGUGACGAAGCGUGAGUGACGGUAAUGGGUAAAGAAGCACCGGCUAACUACGU